GUGCUCACUUCGGCAGCACAUAUACUAAAAUUGGAACGAUACAGAGAAGAUUAGCAUAGAGUCCUGUGCAAAGAUGACAUGUAAAUUUGUGAAGCGUUCCAUAUGUUA
rnacentral:snRNA from 1 species